rnacentral:rRNA from 1 species
GAUGAACGCUGGCGGCGUGCCUAAUACAUGCAAGUCGAGCGAACAGACGAGGAGCUUGCUCCUCUGACGUUAGCGGCGGACGGGUGAGUAACACGUGGAUAACCUACCUAUAAGACUGGGAUAACUUCGGGAAACCGGAGCUAAUACCGGAUAAUAUAUUGAACCGCAUGGUUCAAUAGUGAAAGACGGUUUUGCUGUCACUUAUAGAUGGAUCCGCGCCGCAUUAGCUAGUUGGUAAGGUAACGGCUUACCAAGGCAACGAUGCGUAGCCGACCUGAGAGGGUGGUCGGCCACACUGGAACUGAGACACGGUCCAGACUCCUACGGGAGGCAGCAGUAGGGAAUCUUCCGCAAUGGGCGAAAGCCUGACGGAGCAACGCCGCGUGAGUGAUGAAGGUCUUCGGAUCGUAAAACGCUGUUAUUAGGGAAGAACAAAUGUGUAAGUAACUAUGCACGUCUUGACGGUACCUAAUCAGAAAGCCACGGCUAACUACGUG